rnacentral:rRNA from 1 species
GGGAUGAGCUCGCGUCUGAUUAGCUUGUUGGUGGGGUAACGGCCUACCAAGGCUUCGAUCAGUAGCUGGUCUGAGAGGACGAUCAGCCACACUGGGACUGAGACACGGCCCAGACUCCUACGGGAGGCAGCAGUGGGGAAUUUUCCGCAGUGGGCGCAAGCCUGACGGAGCAACGCCGCGUGAGGGAUGAAGGCCUUUGGGCUGUAAACCUCUUUUCUCAAGGAAGAAGAUCUGACGGUACUUGAGGAAUAAGCCACGGCUAAUUCCGUGCCAGCAGCCGCGGUAAUACGGGAGUGGCAAGCGUUAUCCGGAAUUAUUGGGCGUAAAGCGUCCGCAGGCGGCCGUUUAAGUCUGUUGUUAAAUCGUAGAGCUCAACUCUAUCACGGCAAUGGAAACUGUUCGGCUUGAGUAUGGUAGGGGCAGAGGGAAUUUCCGGUGUAGCGGUGAAAUGCGUAUAUAUCGGGAAGAACACCAGUGGCAAAAGCGCUCUGCUGGGCCAUUACUGACGCUCAUGGACGAAAGCCAGGGGAGCGAAAGGGAUUAGAUACCCCUGUAGUCCUGGCCGUAAACGAUGAACACUAGAUGUUGGGGGAAUCGACCCCUUCGGUGUCGUAGCUAACGCGUUAAGUGUUCCGCCUGGGG